GUGAGGCCAGGAUCAAACCCUCAACCUCAUGAUUCCUAGUCAGGUUCGUUUCUGCUGUUCCAUGACAGGAACUCCUUUUACUAUGUUUUUAGUUCUAGCAUGUCUUUUGGAUUCAUCCUUAGAGUGUUCACCUCUCUACUUACAUAAACCAUCUGUUCUUGAAUGCUUUUUAUUUUUCAUAUUAAAGAUCCUAACAUAUUAAUCAUAAUUGUUUUACAUUUUUUGAUAAUUCCAACAUCUGUGUCAUUUCUGAUGAUUGCUUUCUCUCUCAAGACUGUUUUUUCUUCCUUAUGCCUUGGUAUUUUAUUGAAAGUCAUACAUAUUGCAUUGGCUAAGAGCAACUGAGGUAAAUAGGCCUUCAGACUGAUGGCCCAUCUGACUGGGAAUUGACUGUGAGUAAUAUGUGCUGUAGCUCUAUGUACCAGAGGGCUUAAAUUCCUCUAUUGCCCGGAUUUUUUCUUCCUCCUUGACCUUCGGAUUCUCAUACUCCUCCCCAGUGGAUGUCUGUGUCUUGUAACUCUUCCAGCUGGAAUCCACUUUUAUUUAUACAGAGUCCUUGUGAAAUGGUAGUAAGAUAUAGGGAAAGGAAAGCAUUCUAUUGUCUUCCAAUUAAAUCUUCAUGUUUUAGUGGGUCAGUGUCUUGUGGCUGUGACUUUCAAAAGUCUAACUCCCCUACCUCUCCUCUAUUCUCUUUUCUGCGUACAAAACUUCCAACCUAUUUCCUUGUGGCUUUGACUCCUGUUGAAUACGUUUUUUUCUCCUUAGGUAGAAGAGAGAGGCUAUAGGGAACUGGAGAAGAAUAAUUACACUGACCUCGAUUAGGAUAAGGCUUUGGCAAAGACUUCCUCCCUGGAGUUUAGGCCUUUGUUGUGGAGAAGACUCUGGGAAUAUUUCACGAUGAUUGAUUGCUCUUUCCUUUCCCCUUUCAGAGCAAGAAGGGUAUCUUUUAUACAUCAUCACUGUUAAGAACCUGGUAGGGUUCCUGGAAGUAAAGUCCAUGAAAGUGUGAGGACUUCUCUGAGAUCGUGGUUCCCAGGAGUUUGUUAUUAUCAUGCAAUCCAAAUUCAAUUUACAAAAAUUGACUUCCAAGUGUUUCUACCAGUUUAUGGCUCAGGAGCUUCCGCUCCUCAGAAGCAAAUCUUGGUUGUGUUGCUGUGCACCUCUUCUCCAGGUUUCAGGGUGGUGGUUUACCUUGCAACCUUAGUUCUCUUCAAAGUCCAAGAAGACCCACUGAUUUUCAGAUUGGCCACCUUUUUCUUGAUGUGUGAUCGGGUGAUAAUUUCUAAACUCUUUAUAUAUUGGCUGAUACUGAAAGUCUGUAUCCAUUAAUAUUAAUUUUUUUCUAGAUGUAAUACAUAGGCUCAGUGAGACAUGCUGAAUUUAUAUCAUCAUUAUUAUCUCUACUGCUGUAACUUUUUUUUCCUUGCUCUUACUGGGGACAGGAUAUUCAGUCAUCAGAUGGUAUAUGUCUCCAUUCUUUUGUUUUGGAAGUUUCUUCAUUUGGUAAUAUUAAUCAAAAGAUAAAUAAAUUCUAGGCAAUUAAGAGAAACAACCUGGAAUAAAUUUUCUACACUGGAAAAGCUCAAGACCUAGCAGUAUAAACAAACAAAUACAGACAAAUUAAUAGGCGUGAUGAUGAGAGUGCAGAAAGGUAUAUAUAGCAGACACCAGGUCAAGGAAGGAUUCUGGGAGAAACUGAUGGACUUAAGAAUAGCACCAGGUAAGUAGAGUGGAGACUGAGGAGUGUAACAGGAACAUUCCAGCCAUGAGAAUACCAUGUGAAAGCAUGAAGGAUCAAUGAAGCAGAAUGCAAAUCUCUAAGUAAGGUAUGAAAAUGAGUUCUAUGUAUGGAGGAGUGGUGGGCUCUGCUAAGCUUUUGAUUUUAUCCUGAAGUCUCUGUGGGAGCUAUUGAAGGACUGAGCCGCAGUGUGUUUAGAUUUGCAUUAUAUAUACUGCUCUAUCUAUAGAAGGAAGAUGACAUAGAACUUCUGAGGCAGAAGGCAGAAAGACAGGUUAAGGGUCUAAUGUUUUGUGGAGGAGAGAAUUUAGGAGGCUCUGGAUUAAGGCUGUGAGAAAGAGGUGAAAUAAGAAACAAAUGUGUAAAAUAGCGCCAUGCACUGAAAUGAAAAAUGCAGAAGGAGGAGCAGGUUUUAUUUGGAGAAUGAUAGGAAAAUGGCAGUCAUUUUUUUUCUAUAUAGUUCAAAAGUACACUAAGUAUUUCAUAAGUAUUCUAAAACCUAUUAUAGGAAGAAGAAUAGCUAAAAAAGAAGUUGCUGCCAUUUUGAUAAAUCAGAUUGUAUAAAUUUCUACUCUAGAACAGAAAUUAGAAAUCAUUAUCAUAGUUAAGUUUCAAAAUCAAAUGCAAUCUUGUUUCAGACUAUAUAACUUCCAUAAAGAGGUCAUGUUCUUCUCAGCUAUAAUAACUCCAGCAAGAAUUAUUUUUGGGGGGUUCUGUUAUACAGCUAAUUACUGAGUAGAAAGAUCUGGUUGAAAGGAUAAGAAAAAAUAUGAAGGACACAUAACUAUGGAUUAAGCACAUUCUUUAAUCACUUCGUGACUGAUUAAUGAGAAAUAAAAUUUUUGAAAAUAGGUAAGGAAAUUUCCAACUUCUGUAAAAAUCCUGUCAUAUGUGGAACUACACAAAUAGUUGAGAAUCAUGAAAAAUUUAACUCAAACUAUAGAAGAGCAUCUAAUCUAUAAAGACUAGAAAUUUACUUCUUCUGAUUAAUGAAUCAUUUUAAUAAGUACAUUUCUUCCUAGUCAAUGAUAGAUAUACUUCCUAUCUGCCAAAUGCUCUAAUAGCCAUCAUUGUAAGUAGUCCUUUCAGCUCCUUUGAAGCCCUAUGACAUGGCCCAUAUAGCAUUUCAGCUUUCUUCUUUAUCUUAUGGUUAUUUUAUAUAUUAUUUUCAUUUUUAUUUUUAGAUUGUGAGCUUCCUAGGAGCAGAAAUGAAUAGCACAUAACAGUUGUUCAAUAAAAAUUCAUCUUUCGACAAGCAUUUACUAAGUGUUUAUGACAUACUUAAGAAAUAGGAUAUUAUCCCUGUUUUUAAGGAAAUGGCAUGUUAGUGAGCAUAUAAAUUUAGAUUGGGACAUUUCUGAAUAAUCAGGAUCCUUUUUGAAGGAGAUUAUACUAAGUAAAGAAUUAAACCAGAUUUUCAUUGUUUGAAAUUAAGAGAGAAAAUCAUCAUUUGGUUGAGUAUGAUCAACCAGAAAAAGCAGACAUUUCUGCGUUAAAAAUAAACAUGUAUUUUGUUGUGAAAAAUCAAACGGAAGCAUGUAAUAGGUCACUACAAAUAAACAGACCAAACUUUAAAAACAUGAGUGUACUGAUAUUGGAGCACACAAAAUCAAGUCAAAAGAGAAGUCCCAGAAAUCUUUAGAGAUCUUCAUAUACUAACACAAUGCACUUUCAGUUAGGGAUACGUUUAUACUUAAAGUUCUAGAUUUUUUUGGUACUAUAAUGAGAACUUAUAUGUAUAACAUUACUUCAUAUUUGUCAAAGGUGAUGAACUCCUUUUCACAUUAAGCUAUAUUGCUCCUGAAACAUUGGGUCUGAAAGGUUUUAUGGAUACUCAUUUUCAAUUAUGCAUUGGCAGGUUCACCUCUGCUCUGUUCUAUUCACAGAAUAAAUGGAAACCAUAAACUAAAUAUAUACUGUAUUAGUUAAAGGUUUACCAAAAGAGUUCCCAUGGUUUCCUUUUCUCACUAAAUGCAUUCCCACAUGCUAGAAAAGAUUUCUGAAGUGGAAUGUGUCCUGGCCUUUAGGCCUGAGGGUACACUAUUUCAAGCAUAUCAGGCUGCCUGGUCUAGUGCCUUUUACAUGGGAAACAUCUAAAGACCCCGUUCCAUCACAAAGAUUUCAAUAAAAACCCAAAUGAAACUGAUUCCUCCUUUGGCUUUGUUUCGGUUUUGGAGAUAGAAGCUCUGGCAUGUUUAUUCACAUAUUGUUUUAGCUCCCUCAGUUAAAUGUAAGAAAGAGGAAGCAACCACAAAUAGUUUGCUUACACAAAUUGACAUUGGCCUUUUGAAAUCAUGCAACAGAUUUCAUUUUCUUAAAAGAAAUAUUAUUGAAAAUCUAUUAGUAGGAGCUAUUUGUAAAAGCUGGCUGUUAAUUCCUAAAUUAAUCUUAAAGCAAUGCUUUCUUACAAAUAUUUAAAGUGUCAUAAUUUCAUAGGAUUAACAUAAAUGAGUCUAAAAGUGAUGCUUCAUUAAUCAGAUAAAUUCCAUAGGUCAACAUCUAAUGAGUACUUUGUAAAAAAUCCCAAAUUUUCUUUUUUCCCCCAUUAAUUUGUGAAUAAAGUUAUCCCUCAUACCUUAAACUUCAAAGGUAGAUUUUUCAGUUUAUUAAUCCAAGUAUGAUAUCAGACCAUAGCAGUGAUUUGCCCCCUCUGGGAAUGGCAUUUGGUGAUUUUCUAAUGAAUGCAUUACCAUGAACAAAGGUGACAGGUUAACCAUAGCAAGAACAGGAUCAUGCUCAUUCUUCAUGGAAACUCUGAAACACUGAGUCACAGACAGUUUCAGUUAUUUUGCAUGUUUGGCAAUCUUCCCUCCUGAAUGGAACAAUAAACAUUAACUCAUUACUCUGAAUGAAGCUUAUAAAAACAUAGUUGACAUAAGUUACUCUCGAUUAAAAAAUAUUUUUUAUCACAAUGCCAGUUUUCUCUUUUGCAACAUGAUGAGUUGUAUUUUAUUUUCAAAAGAACAUGAUCAAACUUUCCCACAAAUAUUUCAAAUUUGUCAUGGGCCACUAAAAUGUCAGAUCUCUGAUAGUUCUUUUAAUUCAUUCUUUUUCAAGAUGAUAUAUGAAACAUACUGGGGAGUGGGAUAUAUUAUAAUCUGGAAUUUAGUACUUGAACAGAGACUUUUUAAUGGUACCAAGACGGCUUAAGAAAAUCACAGUGCCUUUUUUGUUCCAAAUUUGUUUUAUAAUAUCAAAUGUUCCCAGAAACACAUAAAUUAUAGAUUCGGUGUAACUUGUAUUUACAACCACAUUCAUUUUAAUAUGAGAAGAUCAUGCUACAUUUUUCCUUUUCCAGUUUUACUGAAAAUACAGAUAAAAUCAGUGGACACCCUCUGCAGGCUUUUUAGAGGCAAAGCUGACGUCCGGGAAGGCUUUGGUGGGCGGCCUCCGCUGUCCAGGCCCCCUUGUGAAGGAACCUUCUGUCCUGCAGUGGGAUUGCAGCUUCUUGGAAAGGGGAGCCAUUUAUCACAGUCCUAAAUGAAAGCAUUCUUUAAACACAAAUGUCUUUUUCUCCCUUUGUCUAAUUACUGAGAGGAAAAGUGAGAAGGAAAUGUCAAAACAGAGAAACAGUGGUGUAUAGAGAGAACAGCCACUCUGGAGCUCAACCGCCUUUUGUGAGGGUCUGGGCGAUUUGUCAAAUGAUUGUGGCAUAAGUCAAGCUCUGAGGUUGAAAGGUCUUGACCCAAGGAGUCCUGGAAUCAGACAGUGUAAGCAAGGGGUCUGCUAGAAUUUUCAGCUGUAGUGGAGAUGAACAAUGAUGGGAGCUGGACAUAACAAAACCUCAUUUGCAUAAUUCAGGUAAGUAAUUUUAUUGAAACUGACAAGGAUGUGACAGGCUAAGAAAGAGAAGAGAACACAGUCUUGCUGGGAACCACUAAAGCUCCUCAGUUAGGUAUGUGAAAAUAAAUGACAGCUAAUCUCUUCACUAAAAAAUCUGUAAACAAUGCUAUUUUACCCAGGACUCACCCAUGACCUUUUGUAGAGCCGGCUAUAGAUUCUUUAGUCUAGGCUUCCAGAAUAUAUCAAACAGAAUGGACUAAAUUCAAAUUACGUUUUAGAGUUUAACUGUUAAUACUUACUUCCCUGGAUAGAAGCUCCUUCCAAGGCAGGUUUACACAUAAGAAAGAAAGGGUAGAAACAUUUUUAAGGGAAUGGUGAUCAAAGGUUUGAGAUUGAUGCUACAUAAAACCUAUUUUUUACUUAAGAAUAGAUUUUGGGGGUGAAAUUUUAAUUUGAAUAACUUGUUCUAAGAAUCUAAAAAGCCUUUAGCAAUUGAGCUUCCCAAUAUGGGCAAGAAAUUAUAUUAAUCUUUACCAGUGCUUUUCAGCUGUUUUUUGUCUUUCUAUUUCAAAGUGUAUAUUUAAACUAGGCAUACAUUUAAUAUUGAGCAUAUAUUUUAAAAAUUAAAAUAUCUAAUACCUAUUAAAUACAACAUGUUUCUGAAUUCUGAUAAAGUUUUAUAACAUCAGGAAAAUCUACAAGUUAGAUUUUAUAUAGCCUGGAUAUACCUAUCCCUAAAAAAAAAAAAAGGCAGCAAAAAUGAUAAGAUUGUCAGUGAAGAGACUUCCUUAUUUUAGAUAAGAGAAGCUAAAUUCUUAGAAGCACCCUCCAUGUCCUUUAUAGUUGGCUUUGCCAUUAUGUGUGGAACACCAGGGCAUAGCUACAUAUCUUUUGUAAUCCAGGCUGCUCACUAGUCAUUGGUGACUUUUAUAGGCAAGGGCAGUAAUGGAUGGAAACAGUAAUCAGCCUAGAGAAGAAUACUACUCAAACUUCAUUUGCCAGAGGAGAACCGUGUCUGCUGUGCCCUUCAAACAUGCCAAAAAUAUGAAACCCAUUUAGUUUGACAUGAGUUGCAAAAUCUCUCAGGAUUUUUGGUAGCAAAUAUACAAUUACUCCUUCUGCAGUGUAUGGAACACAUACAUAGUUUGACCAAAAUGUGGAUCACUCCAUAGAAUGGGAAGCAGUUGAGAGUUCUGGCUAGAUCAAAUGUGGAUCUCAGUAUUAUAAGCAGUCUAAUGCAUAAUUCAUGAGGCUUAAUGAAUAUUCCAAUUCAUGACAGCCAACUGGCUCCAUAGGUCACACCUCCUAGUCUCAUAUAAAUAAAGAAUGAGAUACUGGAAAGCAUACCAGCUGAACCAAACUGAGUGCCAAAAACAUGCAUAUUAAUGAGGCGCUAUAAUAGAUACUUGACUCUUUGGAAGUGCCUAUAUUGGUUUCCAGCUACAGAGGGAAAGAAAGUUCACAAUGUACCUUUAAACACACCAUACUGUGUACCAUAAAAUACAGCUCUUUCCAUGAAAUAUGGAAUCAAAUUAUACUGAUGUGAUUUCAGAUUCAGUCUUUAACUCCAUAACAUCCUCUGACACUUCCAACAACAUUGAAACAUUCUGGAAAGAACCCCACCCCCUGCUCCCAUAUUCCUUUGCAAGUCUCAACUUGGUAACUAGGGAGAGGAAGUCCUUCAACAGUGCUGUUCUUUUAUGUGUUCUGUUUAGACCUUGGAUCAGGAUGAAUGGUAGCUCAGAUGAAUGCAUUUGUGCCAUUUUUCUUGGCCCCGGACUAUGUUUCCUCACUACCAUGACAUCUGAACAGAAGGAGAAAACAUCUCCCCUUUGUAACGGGCUAAUUUAAUUUGUACCUUCCACCUAGGGGUAAAUAUGUUUGUCUGUCUGUCUGAGCUUUUUGCCUACUUUCUUUUCUCACGGGAAACCCUACUGAGUCAAAAGCAGGAAAUCGCUUAGUGCUCUAACUUUAUUUUAAAGUAAUUUAAUUUUAAACCUUCUCACACCCACCCUAAAGUGGAGCAACUGUUGGAAGCCCCUCGGGAUACCCUUAAUGAUUUCUGCAUGUCUCCUGUGUCACAGAUGUCAAAGGCUUGUUGUUUUGAGAUGUGCUGAGGGUCUACCUGCAUUUUUCCAUGGCACUAAUUAAUACAUGAGGACCCUCACAGAUCUCAUUAGUCCAGGAGAACAUAAGCAUCAAGGAAAAACUUUCUCCUAUGAUUCACCUAAAGCUCUACCUAUGGGUUCUUUGCAGAUUGUGUACUCCAUGGGAAUGGAAACGUCAUCUGUUUUGUUCAUCUGGAUCUUCAGAGCAUGUUACUGGAAUGUGUUUCCAGAUAGCAGGGAACUCAUGCACCUGUCCACGGAUGGUCACAGCGGACUUUGGCAGAGACUGACACAUAGAAAAACAUGCAAGGGAAGCUGCAGCCCUUGACCACAGACUUGCAUGUUCACCUGGCCAUGAACUAUAAGAAGCUGGAAGGUGUCUCCCCAUGUCAUCAAAGUGAGACUGCAGAUGGAAAACAGAGGCACAGGCUGGCUCGGCUGGCACCUCAGCUCGAAAAAAAAAAGAAAAGGGGAAAAAAAAAAGAAAAAUCAGAAGAAAGGAAAAUCGAGGCACAGAUGGCAUCAAACAUUCUCAAAACCUCCAUGAUGAAAAGUUCUGAGAUAGAAUACGCAGGGAUUGGGCAGCCAUCCCUUUGAUGAAAGGUUUUUCAAAGAUCUCUUCCUCAAUUUAGGUUAAAGAAACGGGUUGGGAAAGUCUAUUAAAAAUGAAAGAAAGAAUGAUUUAGUCCCCAAAAGAGAAAGGAUUUCACCAAAAGAAUAUAGGUAAACUGAAACAGAAAUUCUCUGGAUAAUUACUGUAAGUGAAAGAGGGUGGGGGACAUUCCUAGCCCAGGACAAUUUUUACUUCUUUUAGCUAGAACUUUACCAAAGCAAAUAUAAAAAUGACAGCUAUGGUAAUUCCCUGGUGGCCUAGAAGCUAAGGAUUUGGCUUUGU